rnacentral:rRNA from 1 species
AACGAACGCUGGCGGCAGGCUUAACACAUGCAAGUCGAGCGCCCCGCAAGGGGAGCGGCAGACGGGUGAGUAACGCGUGGGAAUCUACCCAUCUCUACGGAACAACUCCGGGAAACUGGAGCUAAUACCGUAUACGCCCUUCGGGGGAAAGAUUUAUCGGAGAUGGAUGAGCCCGCGUUGGAUUAGCUAGUUGGUGGGGU